GUCGGGGUGGCGGAACAGGCAGACGCGCACGUUUGAGGGGCGUGUGGUGUAAACCGUGGGGGUUCAAGUCCCCCUCCCGACACCA
rnacentral:tRNA from 1 species